UGGGAUUGGACCCAGAUAUCUGGAAAUCGAAGUCCAAAUCUAGUAGUUGGGUGUUCGAGUUGAGAGGAGAAAGAGAGAAGAUCGGAAAAUGGGAAAGAGCUCCUAACAAUUGAAUUGCAAGCUCUGUAAUGUGGAGUUUGUGUUGAAAUAAUGAAGGCCUUUUGAGUAUGAUUUAAUUUUCUCUUUUCUUCUCUCUCAAGAAUUUCGGAGAGAGAAUAAUUAAGAGGAAGACAG
rnacentral:lncRNA from 1 species